rnacentral:misc_RNA from 1 species
GUGAAUCAUCGAAUUUUUGAACGCAAAUUGCACUCUCUGGUAUUCCGGAGAGUAUGCCUGUUUGAGGGUCAGUAUAAUCAAAAUCGUAGCGAUGCCGUUUGGUUGAAGUACCGGAGUUUUGGUCAUCUUAACUCUUUAAGAGACCUAAAAUUAACAUUCUGUUCUUGCUCACUUGCAGUCGUACAUAAUGUUUUUUAUUCGUCUACCCUGGUUGCAAUAGUUUUACUAGAUCGUUAAUCACGUAGAUUAGUCUCGCGU